GCCAUAGCUCAAUGGGAGAGCAUCUGCUUUGCAUGCAGAAAGUCCCAGGUUCGCUCCCCUUCCUAGCAUCUCCA